UACAGAGGGUGCGAGCGUUGUUCGGAAUUAUUGGGCGGAAAGGGCGCGUAGGCGGUGCGGUAAGUCACCUGUGAAAUCUCCUGGCUCAACUGGGAGCUUGCAGGCGAAACUGCCGUGCUGGAGUGUGGGAGAGGUGCGUGGAAUUCCGAGUGUAGCAGUGAAAUGUGUAGAUAUUCGGAAGAACACCAGUGGCGAAGGCAGCGAACUGGCCCUUAAUUGACGCUCAGGCACGAAAGCAUGGGGAUCAAACGGG
rnacentral:rRNA from 1 species